AUUCCAGCUCCAAUAGCGUAUAUUAAAGUUGUUGCGGUAAAAAAGCUCGUAGUUGGAUUUCUACCGAAGAUAGCCGGUCGGGUCUUCGACCUCGUAUCUGGUUUUGUCUUUGGUAUCCUCAUGGGGAACGUUGCUGCGCUCCACUGCGUGGUGCGGUAUCCAUGACUUUUACUUUGAGGAAAUUAGAGUGUUCACGGCAGGCAAACGCCCUGAAUAUAUUAGCAUGGAAUAAUAACAUAGGAUCUUCGUCCUAUUUUGUUGGUUUCUAGGGCUAAGAUAAUGAUUAAUAGGGAUAAUUGGGGGCAUCUGUAUCAACGCGUCAGAGGUGGAAUUCUUGGAUUGCGUUGCGACAAACUACUGCGAAAGCAUUUGCCAAGGAUGUUUUCAUUA
rnacentral:rRNA from 1 species